CAAUAGCGUAUAUUAAAGUUGUUGCAGUUAAAAAGCUCGUAGUUGGAUUUCUGGUGGGAGCGAUCGGUCUGGCGCUUAGCGCGAGUACUUGCAUCGUCUCCGGCCAUCCUUGGGGAGAGUCUGUCUGGCAUUAAGUUGUCGGGCAGAGGAUCCUCAUCGUUUACUGUGAAAAAAUUAGAGUGCUCAAAGCAGGCUUAUGCCGUUGAAUAUAUUAACAUGGAAUAAUAAGAUAGGACUUUGGUACUAUUUUGUUGGUUUGCGCACCAAAGUAAUGAUUAAUAGGGACAGUUGGGGGUAUUCGUAUUCCGUUGUCAGAGGUGAAAUUCUUGGAUUUACGGAAGACGAACUACUGCGAAAGCAUUUACCAAGGAUGUUUUCAUUAA
rnacentral:rRNA from 1 species